UGUGUGUGUGUGUGUGUGUGUGUGUGUGUGUGUGUGUGUGUGUGUGUGUGUGAGAGAGGGAUAACUUUUCACAGUAUGAAGCAUAGUUGGCCCUUUGCAAGUGUAUUUAAUGACAAGCUUCCAGACUGAUCGAUUUGCAGCGGUAACUAUGCUGUGUGUUAACUGUGGUGUGGUAACUAUGGUGUGGUAACUGUGGUGUGGUAACUGUGGUGUGGUAACUGUGGUGUGGUAACUGUGGUGUGGUAACUGUGGUGUGGUAACUGUGGUGUGGUAACUGUGGUGUGUUAACUGUGGUGUGUUAACUGUGGUGUGGUAACUGUGGUGUGGUAACUGUGGUGUGUAAACUGUGGUGUGGUAACUAUGCUGUGAGUAAACUGUGGUGCGUUAACUAUGCUGUGUGUUAACUGUGGUGUGGUAACUAUGCUGUGAGUAAACUGUGGUGUGGUAACUAUGCUGUGAGU
ensembl:lncRNA